CAAAAUAGAACCAGCGUACAAUGGAUAACCGAAUCUGAAUAAAAAAAAAUCUACAAAUCAAAUAUCACUUGAAGAUCUGUUGAACUCUCAAUUGCGAUCUAAGAACACCUCAGGACCUACGUUUUGCUUUGUUUAUGAUUACGACCCUCAGUCGGAAUUCCCAAAGCCCUUCGGCACUCUUACUUAUGAUAACAACUCCUUUACUUAUGAUAAACAACUCCUAAACUGCAAAUAUUCCAAGAGAAAAGUCUUCUUCAAGCUACCAACUCAUCUGCCAAGCUCGGACCUGUUGUUGACUUUCUCUGUUUAACUUCCUACAAAAUGUUUUCCUUGCAUCUCUUAAAAGAUCACGAAGUUUAAAUCAAUUUAGAAUCUUGUAAACAUACGAAAUAAUUAAGAUAAGAUAUCAGUACGACCGGAAGAAAACAAUUCAACCAUAUAUUAUUCAUUUGUUUCUAAAUCUCAUGGUUCCAAUAUGUGAGUUAACUCUUGCACAUAAAGAGAGGGUAAAUACUAAAUAGUCAUGAAACUGGUAUUCCAAAUUCAGAGUGGCCAAGUACUCUCUUUAUAGCUGAUUUUACUACCUUGGUUGUCAACGCUACGCCGUCCAUAUGACAUAUCGAUAAGUAAUAAGCAUAUUCGUCACUGUAACUCCAUUUCAACAUGCGAUUCUGUAAUAAACCCACUAAAAAAAUCUCACAUUUGAACGGAAGAAUAGAGGAAUAUGAAAAGGACUUGAAAAGUAAAGCCCGAAACGAAUAAUUAUUGAAUUUCUGAAUUCUGUACCAUAAGCUUUGUUCUAUUUGUCGAUCCCUGCGAAUUUAAAAAAAAAAGAAGAAGAAGAAGAAAUUAAAGGAGGAUGCAAGUUAGCAGAAGAAUCAACGCACUUUGAUGGAACAGCGGCCCUAGCCCUCUUUAAGGUCUACAGUUCCAAACCAACCGACUGAAGCCAUAGACGAAGGACUGCAUUCACAAUUACAUAAAUAAAGAUUUCCUAUUUGGUCCAAAACCAGUGUGCCCGUUACGAUUAGUUGAAAAUUUAAGGAGGUUAGGGUUCAUAAGUUGGGAUUUAAUUACCUUUAUCGUGAAGAAGAUGAGGAAGCUUGCCUUUAUCAAAGCGACGUUCUCAAUCAUAGAGCACAGCGUCGACGGCCCGAUGAUCAAGCACAAUCUUCCCUAAAUUCCUAUCAUUGUCGGACUAAAUCAUCGUCUCCAAUGCCUAACAAUCUCAAGAAGAGAUGAAAAAAAAAAAAAAAAAAAAACAAUUUAGCAAAUACUUCACUGGGGAUCUUGCAAAUAUAUAGGAGAGCUUCCGCCCGUUAC
rnacentral:lncRNA from 1 species